CCUACGGGGUCAGCAGUGGGGAAUAUUGCACAAUGGGCGCAAGCCUGAUGUAGCCAUGCCACGUGUAUGAAGAAGGCCCUCGGGUUGUAAAGUACUUUCAGCGGGGAGGAAGGUGUUGUGGUUAAUAACCACAGCAAUUGACGUUACCCGCAGAAGAAGCACCGGCUAACUCCGUGCCAGCAGCCGCGGUAAUACGGAGGGUGCAAGCGUUAAUCGGAAUUACUGGGCGUAAAGCGCACGCAGGCGGUCUGUCAAGUCGGAUGUGAAAUCCCCGGGCUCAACCUGGGAACUGCAUCCGAAACUGGCAGGCUAGAGUCUUGUAGAGGGGGUUAGAAUUCCAGGUGUAGCGGUGAAAUGCGUAGAGAUCUGGAGGAAUACCGGUGGCGAAGGCGGCCCCCUGGACAAAGACUGACGCUCAGGUGCGAAAGCGUGGGGAGCAAACAGGAUUAGAUACCCUCGUAGUC
rnacentral:rRNA from 1 species